UACGUAGGGGGCAAGCGUUGUCCGGAAUCAUUGGGCGUAAAGCGCGCGUAGGCGGCCCGGUAAGUCCGUUGUGAAAGUCAAAGGCUCAACCUUUGAACGCCGAUGGAUACUGCCGGGCUAGAGUCCGGAAGAGGCGAGUGGAAUUCCUGGUGUAGCGGUGAAAUGCGUAGAUAUCAGGAGGAACACCGGUGGUGUAGACGGCUCACUGGACCGUAACUGACGCUGAGACACGAAAGCGUGGGUAGCAAACAGG
rnacentral:rRNA from 1 species